rnacentral:rRNA from 1 species
UGGGGAAUAUUGGACAAUGGGCGCAAGCCUGAUCCAGCCAUGCCGCGUGAGUGAUGAAGGCCUUAGGGUUGUAAAACUCUUUCACCGGUGAAGAUAAUGACGGUAGCCGGAGAAGAAGCCCCGGCUAACUCCGUGCCAGCAGCCGCGGUAAUACGGAGGGGGCUAGCGUUGUUCGGAAUUACUGGGCGUAAAGCGCGCGUAGGCGGAUUGGUCAGUUGGGGGUGAAAUCCCGAGGCUUAACCUCGGAACUGCCUUCAAAACUGCCAGUCUUGAGUUCGAGAGAGGUGAGUGGAAUUCCUAGUGUAGAGGUGAAAUUCGUAGAUAUUAGGAAGAACACCAGUGGCGAAGGCGGCUCACUGGCUCGAUACUGACGCUGAGGCGCGAAAGCGUGGGGAGCAAACAGGAUUAGAUACCCCCGUAGUCC